AUCACUUCUCAGCCUUUUGGCUAAGAUCAAGGGUAGUAUCAGUUCUUAUCAGUUCUUUUUUUUUUUUUUUUCGAGACAGAGUCUCGCUCUGUUGCCCAGGCUGGAGUACAGUGGUGCAAUCUCGGCUCACUGCAACCUCC
rnacentral:snRNA from 1 species